AUCCCUGUAGCGCAAUGGAUCGCGCGUUGGACUUCAAUUCCAAAGGUCGUGGGUUCGAAUCCUACUUGAGAGG